rnacentral:lncRNA from 1 species
CAUUUUGUUAAUAUAUAUUGCAUGUUUAAUUGAAAAAUAAAUUAAGGCAAUUUUGCAGAUUAUGGAACUAUUUUUUCAUUCGAAAUGAAAGUUUGUUUAUAGUUCCAGUUCUAGUGGUGCAUCUAGUUUUAGUCCGUACGAUUUUUUGAAUAUUAUUUAAUUAAAUAUUAAUAAACGAUUCGCCUAUCACAGAUGCUGAUUGUUGACAGUUAACGUUCAACGUUCGCGGUCCGCCUUAGCUGAACUAAGACCCUGGAUUCGCCCCUGUCCCCCAGCAUCUCUUAUUCAAGAGGUUUGUAUAGUCAGAAAGAGUAAUUUAUGUGUUGUCAUUCUUCGUCUCUCUGUCGAAUAUUUCUCAGUUUGUUCAUUGCAUACAAUAUGUUUUGAACUGAUCAAAUUGAAUAUGAUAAAAUCUCUGAUGGAUUCCAAGUCUAUCUUGGAUCCAAGAAGGGAAAAUAGGCCGAUUUCACCUAUAUUUAGUCCAGAUUAAAUGGCAGCCAAAGUUUGAUUGUCUUUAAAGCCUUUCCAGUUCAGUUUAAAUGUGAUUAGCACUGUUUUAUACACAUUCUAUAUAUCACAGCAGAGGUGCCAGAAAAAAAACUUUUUAUUCUUCUUUUUUGUCACAUUGGAAGUGAAUCAUUAUGAUAUGUGGGUUUGAUUUGAAAGGUUUACAAUUUCUUAAUCAUUAUGUGUUGCAAGCAGGAUAUGGAAUUGGCCAAGAUGUUGAUUAGACCAAAUUAAGUUUUCACUGACGACUUGAGCAAGAAUCUUUGUUAAUUGAAGAAAAACAUGGUGCAACUAGACGGCAGUAGAGGAAGAUUUCCAGAGGUACAUGAUUGAGAGGAGGCCUCCGAAUGAAGUUAAAUCCAUUCAGGGAACUGGUCACAUGGUCAUGUUAUCAAAUACUCAUGAACUCUGCCUUUUGUCAAUUUGUCGGAAGGAAGUAGUAGAAAAGUAUCACUCGUACCACCUCAAGUUUCGAGGUGGCCUCACCUUAUUGGGUGAGGCUAGACUAUCCGAUGAGGUGACAACUCCUCAUUGGAUGGCAGUACCAUGUAGGAGGGCGCGAUGUCCUAGCCACUACGAGUCUAUUCCAUGUAUCCAGGCUUUGUUUAGAAAAAAAAACCCAAUUGGUAAUAAAUCUAUGAUCACUACUUGUAUCAUAAAUGAUUCCUGUUUGGUAUUUGUAAAGAGAUCUUAUUUGUCAAGUAUCUCUCGUGGAUAGGCACUCACCAUAAUUUUAGAAUGAUAUUUUUAUGGAUAAGAUAGGACUAUCUCUUAUCAUUAAUCAACAAAGAAUA